GCAGUCGAGCGCACCUUCGGGUGAGCGGCGGANGGGUUAGUAACGCGUGGNANCAUACCCUUUGGUACGGAAUAGCCUCUGGAAACGGAGAGUAAUACCGUAUGAGCCCUUCGGGGGAAAGAUUUAUCGCCAAAGGAUUGGCCCGCGUUAGAUUAGGUAGUUGGUGGGGUAAUGGCCUACCAAGCCUACGAUCUAUAGCUGGUUUUAGAGGAUGAUCAGCAACACUGGGACUGAGACACGGCCCAGACUCCUACGGGAGGCAGCAGUGGGGAAUCUUGGACAAUGGGGGCAACCCUGAUCCAGCCAUGCCGCGUGAGUGAUGAAGGCCUUAGGGUCGUAAAGCUCUUUCGCCUGUGAAGAUAAUGACGGUAGCAGGUAAAGAAACCCCGGCUAACUCCGUGCCAGCAGCCGCGGUAAUACGGAGGGGGUUAGCGUUGUUCGGAAUUACUGGGCGUAAAGCGCACGUAGGCGGACUGGAAAGUUGGGGGUGAAAUCCCAGGGCUCAACCCUGGAACUGCCUCCAAAACUAUCAGUCUAGAGUUCGAGAGAGGUGAGUGGAAUUCCGAGUGUAGAGGUGAAAUUCGUANAUAUUCGGAGGAACACCAGUGGCGAAGGCGGCUCACUGGCUCGAUACUGACGCUGANGUGCGAAAGUGUGGGGAGCAAACAGGAUUAGAUACCCUGGUAGUCCACACCGUAAACGAUGAANGNCAGUCGUCGGG
rnacentral:rRNA from 1 species